rnacentral:rRNA from 1 species
UUGGAGGGCAAGUCUGGUGCCAGCAGCCGCGGUAAUUCCAGCUCCAAUAGCGUAUAUUAACGUUGUUGCAGUUAAAAAGCUCGUAGUUGAAGUGUGGGUGAUCGCUGUUGUGAGACUUCGGUCUCUCGACAGUAAGUCCCCCCCUUCCAGUAUCCAGUAGUGGGUAUUCAGUUACUUACUACUGUGUGUUGGUCCUUUACUGUGAGAAAAUUAGAGUGUUCAAAGCAGGCGUUUGCUUGAAUAGAUUAGCAUGGAAUAAUAAUUGAAGGCUUUCGUGUUCGAUUUGAUUGGUUUGUUCAUGGAAGCAAGGUUAAAAGGAACAGUUGGGGGUAUUCAUAUUCACUAGUUAGAGGUGAAAUUCUCG